rnacentral:rRNA from 1 species
CAUGGCUCAGGAUGAACGCUGGCGGCGUGCCUAACACAUGCAAGUCGAACGAGAUGCGUAUCGGAAAGCUUCGGCCGGAAGAUACGUUAUCUAGUGGCGGACGGGUGAGUAACACGUGGGUAACCUGCCUUAUGGAGGGGGAUAACAGAGAGAAAUCACUGCUAAUACCGCAUAAGCACACAGUACCGCAUGGUACAGGGUGAAAAGAUUUAUCGCCAUAAGAUGGACCCGCGUCUGAUUAGCCAGUUGGCAGGGUAAAAGCCUACCAAAGCAACGAUCAGUAGCCGAUCUGAGAGGAUGACCGGCCACAUUGGGACUGAGACACGGCCCAAACUCCUACGG